rnacentral:rRNA from 1 species
GAUGAACGCUGACAGAAUGCUUAACACAUGCAAGUCUACUUGAAGCUAACUUCGGUUAGUGGAGGGUGGCGGACGGGUGAGUAACGCGUAAAGAACUUGCCUCACAGAUUGGGACAACAUCUGGAAACGGAUGCUAAUACCAGAUAUUAUGAUUCUUCUGCAUGGAAGGAACAUGAAAGCUAUAUGCGCUGUGAGAGAGCUUUGCGUCCCAUUAGCUAGUUGGAGAGGUAACGGCUCACCAAGGCGAUGAUGGGUAGCCGGCCUGAGAGGGUGAACGGCCACAAGGGGACUGAGACACGGCCCUUACUCCUACGGGAGGCAGCAGUGGGGAAUAUUGGACAAUGGACCAAAAGUCUGAUCCAGCAAUUCUGUGUGCACGAUGAAGUUUUUCGGAAUGUAAAGUGCUUUCAGUUGGGAAGAAGCAAGUGACGGUACCAACAGAAGAAGCGACGGCUAAAUACGUGCCAGCAGCCGCGGUAAUACGUAUGUCGCAAGCGUUAUCCGGAUUUAUUGGGCGUAAAGCGCGUCUAGGCGGCUAGAUAAGUCUGAUGUGAAAAUGCGGGGCUCAACUCCGUAUUGCGUUGGAAACUGUAUAGCUAGAGUACUGGAGAGGUAAGCGGAACUACAAGUGUAGAGGUGAAAUUCGUAGAUAUUUGUAGGAAUGCCGAUGGGGAAGCCAGCUUACUGGACAGAUACUGACGCUAAAGCGCGAAAGCAUGGGUAGCAAACAGG